GGCAAUGGAUACCAUGGAUUAUGCUGACACCAAUCAGGUUUGAGAGAACUGCCAGGCCUAUAGGAAGAGAAUGCGACAUUUGUCAAGGUGGAUACUAUUGUUGCUGCCUCUGUUUACAUCAUGUACACAUAACGAGGUACUGGUGGAAACAUGCAAAGGUGAAACUGCUUCUUUUCAGUGGGAUUACAAAGUCCCUCCCUUCUAUGCAGUUGAGUGGUAUUUUGGAAAGACACUAAUAGCAAAGGCAUUUGAAGAUCCUCU